rnacentral:tRNA from 1 species
UGGAUCACCUCCUAACAGGGAGACAACAAAAUGUUAAAUAUUAAUUUUGUCACCUUAGGUCGAUCGGUACCUCACAUUCUUAACUUAUUAAGGAUUUUAUUUCCUAAGUUUUUUCUAGGUCACACCCAUCACUUUCCUGGGCCAUUAGCUCAGGUGGUUAGAGCGCACCCCUGAUAAGGGUGAGGUCCCUGGUUCAAGUCCAGGAUGGCCCAUAUCUCUAUGUUGGGGGUAUAGCUCAGUUGGUAGAGCGCCUGCUUUGCAAGCAGGAUGUCAGCGGUUCGAGUCCGCUUACCUCCACUGAUUACCACCUCUUCCAUAAUUUUUAGAAGGAAAUGUUUUGAGAUGUGAUCAAAUUCUGAACGAAUCUAGCUUCCUAAUUACCUUUAUUAAGAUGCUGGACUCAUUGAAUUAAUUUCAUUGUUUUCAGAGAACCUUGACAACUGCAUAGAUUAUUUUUAAAGACAAUAAGCAUCUUUAAUGAUGCAGAUUUAUUAUUUGUGCGAAUGCAUUAAUAACAAUUCUAUUAAGCUGAUGCUUCAAUUUUGAAGUUAUUGGUCAAGCUACAAAGGGCUCACGGAGGAUACCUAGGCACACAGAGGCGAUGAAGG